rnacentral:ncRNA from 1 species
GGUAGACGCUACGGACUUAAAUAAUUUGAGCGUUAGUGAAAAAACUUACUAAAUGCUAGCUUUCAAAUUCAGGGAAACUUAGGUUGAAAAAAAUAUAAGCAAUCCUGAGCCAAAUAUUAUUUCAUUUAAGAAUAAAAUAGGUGCAGAGACUCAAUGGAAGCUAUCCUAAUGAAUAAUAUUUUUCAUUAAGUAUAUUAAAUGUUACUUAAACUUUUUUUAUUUUAAUAUUAAAUAUUAAGCAAGGAUAAAGAUAGAGUCCAAUUUUACAUGUUAAUUUUAGCAACAAUUUAAAUUGUAGUAAAAAGAAAAUCCGUUGGCUUUAUUGACCGUGAGGGUUCAAGUCCCUCUACCCCCAAAAUAUUGACAUUAACUCAAAAUUUAUGUUAAAAUAAGCUAAUAAAAAAGCCGGAAUAGCUCAGUUGGUAGAGCAGAGGACUGAAAAUCCUCGUGUCAC